rnacentral:lncRNA from 1 species
GGGCCCCGGCGGGAGAGCGCAGCGAAGAAGGUACCUCGGGGCUGAGAUCUCAUGCCAAUCUCUCGGGCUUUACCCCAUUUCCAGCACAUCGUUUCGCAUUAGGGACACUCUUCGCCUCCAAACCUAGAGUCCUGCGCAUCUACGUGUCUUUCCAAAGCAAGUGACUAAAGCGUCUACUGGCCUUCCGUGGCUCAGCAUAUCCCUUUGGACCUGAUGGAUAAAGAAAGGAGCCAUAUGCCUCUUAGUCAUAAAAAGAGAGCAUUCGAAGGACCAUUCAAGCAAAUACGUCUAAGCCACUGAGAUAUUGUUAAUUGGCGAAGACAGAUGCAGAGAGGAGCUCAGACAGAAGGAGCUGAGAUUUUCUAUUCCUCAUCUGAAGGUGCCUGGGUUCCAGGAGAUCCACCCCGGAAACCUGGCCAAUUAGCUGUCGAUGUCGCUCAAGAUCAAAACACCACCUUUUUGAAGAUUACAGUCCAGAGUUUUAUAGACGGUCCUUCAGUUUGGUUCACCUAGUGUUUCCUCAUACUAUGGUUCUGGGUGCCUUUGUACCUAAGAGACAGUCAUGAACAGAAUUUGCAAUGGAAAUACACUGGAGGAAACACACUGGAGGAAAAUACACAUUCUCUGAAAUUUGAAGCCAAAGAAAAGCUUCCAGAGAAAGAAAAUGAGAAAGUCUCAAGAAUUAAAUGGAGUUGUCAUAAAAAAAGAGAGAAGGGCAGAAAGAGAGACAUUCUGCAAGUACAAGGCAUGGAAAUAAGAGCCAGCUCUGCAUAUUCAACGACCGUCAAGUUCAGUGUUGACAGGAACAAAGCACUGGGGUAGAAAUGGUGGCCACAGACAAGACUGGGAAGGCAGCUUUACACCAAGCUUAAAAAGCUUCUUGUGCUCUGCUGGAGUCUAGAUUCCAUCUAGUUGGCAUUGGGAAACCCUGGUUAUUUUACGCAAGGCAGUGACAGGGUCUGAUUUACUUUUCUCUAAGGUCAUUCUGAGCAUAUGCAUGUUUUCUUUCUCCAAUAGAAUCAUAAGGAUACACUUAUCAGGAAUCAGAUCUUGACUUUUUUUGGUAUCACCAACUGGGCUUAGCAGAGUCAGGGAUGCUUGUUUAGAGAGAAACUAAACCCUGGUAGGAAAAGGUUAAGAUCUCAAGGAAGACAAGACUUGGGCCAAGGCAGAUUGAGGGGAGAUGUCAAUACUCAGAGAAACCACAGCCACAGAAUUAUAAGGACUUGAAGGACCAUUUACAACUCUGGUGGCUUUUCUGAGCUUUGUUGAGUAAAAGGCAAGGAAACAUGACAUCGCAGAGGUCCUUACGGUACAGAGAAAAAGGAUUCUCAUACAAGCUGCUUAGAAGAACAAAUUACUGCUAAUUACCAGGAUGUUUAAUGGAGAUCAAUCUGAUAGUUUUGUGCAAGAAGGAUUGAAGUAAAUGAAGCUGGGGCCGGGCAGAUCCGUCAGGAAGUUGGACAGCAACUCAGGCUCCUGUGGGUUUGAAUUCUGAAUGGCCGUGGUAAUGGCGGAAAUAGAAGAGAAGAGGAUGAAUCCGCGAACCCUGGAGAAGAAGAUCAACCCACUGGAAAUUAUCCGCCCUGAGAAGGGCAAGGGAAAGGCAGUGUCAAAGACAACCGCGGGUUUUUAGGUGAGAGGUGGCAGGCGAAAAGCGCGGUUGGUGGUGCCCGUGGCAGAAAUGAGGAUGUUAGGAAAGAGAUCACGUUUGGGGAGUGGCAUGGGGUUUAUAAUACAGAAUUUUAUUGGCUUUUGUUUCUGGGAGAUUCUAAAUCCUUGAACUACCCCAAUUUAUGAAGAGCGUCUUUUUGAUGUUUAUAAACUUACAAACGCAGUCCCUAGAUAAUUUUAGUAUUGGAGCUGGUCACAAAAAAGGCCAGCCCAGUUGAUGAGAUUGUUGCGAUUUUGAGAUGUCUUUUGACUUCCGGGGCAUGGAAGAGGGUGAAAAAUCAGUUCAAUCAGUCAUGUUCCUGUAAUGAAACCCCAAUAAAAACUCUGGACCA